rnacentral:rRNA from 1 species
CCUACGGGUGGCAGCAGUGGGGAAUAUUGCACAAUGGGCGCAAGCCUGAUGCAGCCAUACCGCGUGUGUGAAGAAGGCCUUCGGGUUGUAAAGCACUUUCAGCGGGGAGGAAGGCGUUAAGGUUAAUAACCUUGGCGAUUGACGUUACCCGCAGAAGAAGCACCGGCUAACUCCGUGCCAGCAGCCGCGGUAAUACGGAGGGUGCAAGCGUUAAUCGGAAUUACUGGGCGUAAAGCGCACGCAGGCGGUCUGUCAAGUCGGAUGUGAAAUCCCCGGGCUCAACCUGGGAACUACAUUCGAAACUGGCAGGCUAGAGUCUUGUAGAGGGGGGUAGAAUUCCAGGUGUAGCGGUGAAAUGCGUAGAGAUCUGGAGGAAUACCGGUGGCGAAGGCGGCCCCCUGGACAAAGACUGACGCUCAGGUGCGAAAGCGUGGGGAGCAAACAGGAUUAGAUACCCUAGUAGUC